CGGGUAACGGGGAAUUAGGGUUCGAUUCCGGAGAGGGAGCCUGAGAAAUGGCUACCACUUCUACGGAAGGCAGCAGGCGCGCAAAUUACUCAAUCCCAAUACGGGGAAGUAGUGACAAUAAAUAUCAAUACCUAUCCUUUUUGGAGGGCAAUUGAAAUGAACACAAAUUAAAACUCUUAAUUAACACAAUUGGAGGGCAAGUCUGGUGCCAGCAGCCGCGGUAAUUCCAGCUCCAAUAGCAUAUACUAAAGUUGUUGCAGUUAAAAAGCUCGUAGUUGAAGUUAAAGUUAUAUUGGGCUAAAGUUUAUUACCACUCUGGUGGUUAAUAUAACUCCAAUAUUUCUUUUUUUAAUAGCUCAGUUUCUAGGUCUUUGACUCUAGUUAUUUGGGCAUUUCACUGUGAGAAAAUUGUGGUGUUUAAAGCAGGCGUCUCGUCUGAUCUUUUGCAGCAUGGUAUGAUGGAACAUGACAUUUUACGCUAUUGGUUUGCGUCUAAAGUGUAAUGAUUAAUAGGGAUGGAUGGGGAUGU
rnacentral:rRNA from 1 species